rnacentral:lncRNA from 1 species
UUCAAUAAGGUCGGUGUUGAAGGAUUCUGGGUCACUGCAAAUCCUCGAGUGGAGCAAUGCGAAUAGAGAAUGGAAGGAACUAUGGUCUGCGCCAAAAUAUCGGUGUGACCUGUAUGGAGAGUGCGGUGCCAACAGCAAAUGUAGCCCUGACAAUUUCAAUUUUUUUGGGUGUGAGUGUCUGCCAGGGUAUGAACCGAAGUCUGUCAAUGAUUGGAAGAGAUGAGAAAUGGUUCGGACGGGUGUGUGAGUAAACGAGUUGCGGUAUCAAAGUGUAGGAACGGAGAAGGGUUCAUGAAAGUGGCACAAGUUAAAGAUCCAGACACAACGAAAGCAGCACGGCUGGAAAAAGGUAUUAGUGUCAAAGAGUGUAAGCAGGUGUGCUUAAGCAAUUGUUCUUGCACUGCAUAUAUGGUCAUAGAAUCUGAAGGGCCCAGUGAUUGCUUGACAUGGUAUGGUGAGAGUUGCUGGACAUUUUAGUGCACACACAGGGAGGGCGAGAUCUACAUGUACGUGUGGACAAAAUCGAAUUAGGUACCACUUCUUGCCAUGGAAAAGUUGCAUUAUAAAUUUUUGGAAUUUGUGGAACUUGCUGUACUAUUGGUUUUGUUAUUUUUUAAUCCUUUAUCCCACUCUUAUGUGUAGCUGAAAAUUCCAGAAACUCGAAAGGUUUUCUUAGAAGGAGGGGUAUGCUGGCUGUUCUGAUGUUGUCUGUUCUUCUAGCAUUGGUACUGAUGGUUGCGUUGACCUGUUGGAGGAUUAGGAAACAGAGGAAGACAAAAGGUAAGAAGUACUCAGCGAUUUUGAAUUCUCGAACGGUUUCAUCAAAUAAAAACACUCCAUUUGUAAUGCUUGUGCAGUUUGUAAAUCACAUCGAAGCACUGCAAUUAGAUGGAAUCCAUAUGCGUGAGCUCGAUGUAAAACUUAUAUUUCUAUAUCGUUUGUCAAUGAAAAUAGAACAGUGAGAAGAAAAUGCAGACAGUGAUUUCUUUUAUUGUUAACAGUUGAGAUCGAAGAAACUAGGAGACAUCCCGAAUGGCAAUUUUUCCAUCUGAGAACGAUAAUUGCAGCUACAAACAACUUCUCUCCAGUCCAAAAACUUGGCCAAGGUGGUUUUGGCACUGUUUAUAAGGUUAGUCCCACUUUCGAAGAGUUACAAAUUUCAUUACUAAAGAAUAAUCACAACAUAAUGGCUUGAUAAAAUAAGCGAUGAUUAUGUGGAAGCUUAAUGAUAAAACUGAAUAAAAACUUCAGGGUGUUACGAAAUAAUCAGAAUAUUGCUGUAAAAAGAUUAUCCAGAACUUCAGGACAAGGAGUUGAAGAAUUCAAAAAUGAAGUUGCGCUGAUAGCGAGAUUUCAACACAGGAAUCUUGUGAAACUUUUAGGCUGUUGCAUAAAGGGAGAAGAAAGGAUGUUAGUCCUGGAAUACUUGCCGAACAAAAGCUUGGACUACUUUCUUUUCGGUAUGUCUAUAGAGGAAAGAUUCCUUUGUUCACGCCAUUUCUCAAACCAAGAAGCAUAUCUUAGUCGAAUAUGUCACAUUUAUCUGCACAAUUAAAGCCAAAUAUCUUGAUGCAGAUCACACGAAAAAGUCCUUGCUGGAUUGGCAAAAGCGAUUCGAAAUCAUCAAUGGGGUUGCUCGUGGGGUUUUGUAUCUUCACCAGGAUUCAAGACUUAGGAUUAUUCACAGGGAUCUAAAAACCAGCAAUGUCCUUCUAGACGCUGAGAUGAACCCAAAAAUAUCAGAUUUCGGCAUGGCAAGAAUCUUCCAUGGGGACCAACUCCAGGAUACGACCAACAAAGUUGUCGGAACAUAGUAAGAAUCGUUAUAAACUCACCUUCCAUUAGCUCUUUCAUCUCUUACUAUUCUUUGGCUGUAAUGUUUUAUUUUCUUUAUAUGCAUAAUACAGUGGCUAUAUGUCACUGGAGUAUGCAGUAUUUGGGAGAUUUUCAACCAAAUCGGACAUUUUUAGUUUUGGGGUCAUAUUAUUGGAGAUUGUAAGUGGCAAGAAAAACAACGGUUUCUAUCAAGCGGAUCAUUUCGUAAACUUAAUAGGACAUGUGAGUAACACAAAUUUUGCAAACAACCAACCCUUUUUAUUUACUCAUCCCAUACAUGUUUGAAAUGAACUGUAAACUACAGGUUUGGCAGUUGUGGAGUGAAGACAGAGCCUUAGAAAUUGUGGAUUCGUCAUUGGAGUCAUACGCGCCCGACGAAGCCAUGAGAUGCAUUCAGGUCGGGCUCUUGUGUGUCGAAGAAGAGUCGAAGAACAGACCAUCCAUGUCAGCUGUUGUUUUUAUGUUGAGCGGCGAAGCAUCUGCUCCAUCUCCUCAGCAGCCUGCAUUUGCCUUGAGAAAAAAUUCAUGCGGCGAUGCUGUUGUUCCGUCAGUUUCCGAAGGAUCGUGUUCUAUCAACGAUGUGACAAUAACUAAAUUCGAAGGUCGAUAACUAAAUUCUGAUGUCAUCUGUGAUAAAACAUGGUCUUUCGGGAACUGAAUCAUAUACGUUGAAAUGAGACUUCAGAUAUAUAGGCUAUUUCAUACAUUUUCAAAUACCUCUUGGAUGUAUCUAAUAAUACAGAACUCUUUCCAACAGUUAUGUCUCCUAAUCAAAACGUUUUGAAUAUUAAUUAAAAACUUAAUCCAAAACUAAAAUCAGUUAAUAUGCUAAUUAAAAUUACACCUAUUGGAGACCUUGUGUUCUUGUGUUCCCUGAUGUGGGAUAAUUGAGGCAUAAAACUCCAACAGAUUCCAACAAGAUCAUUUUCGGAUUCUUUUAGUGAGGAUCCUGAUGAUUUGUGAAUUGUGUCCAUUUAUCGUACAUGCAGUUAGUUUUUGUCAAAUAUUGUUUGUGUUUAAUUUUAAAUAAAAAUAUUUAAAAUAAUUUCUAAUCGUACGAUGUACGAUAAACGGACAAAAUUGACGAAUCCUCGAGAUCCUCACAAAAAGUAUCCGGCGAGGAUCCGGAUUCCAACAGAUUAUUCUUUGACGAAACUGAUUUGACUGCCAACAUCCAAAGUCUCCUUGGUUUGAGUCGUGCUUGCUAGGUGCCGGGUAAACCCUUCAAACAAGCAGCAAUAAUUCCAACAGAUAAACAUAAACAUCAGCGACAAUUCUUCUGUCUUAAGAAAGAGACGGAUCUAAAUCGCACUUCUAACAACACCGAUAUUAUUUUUAAUUUAGUUAGAGCAUUCUCAAUUGGGGCUUUAUCUUCCAUGAAGCUACUACAUUUGGAGUCCUAGUAAGAAAUUUUAUCCCCAAUAAGCCGAAAAUGAGGUUAGAUCCACUAUUUGGGUUAGUAACUUCCUUUCCUAGGUAGCAAAAAAUUAAGCUACAUCUAACUUUAAAAAGCAGUGAAUCCCACGAAAAAGGACGAUACUUGGACACUGGCUAGUCAGUGUCCAAUUUUAUUGACCCCAAAUAAAAAAAAUGACACUUGUCCUUUUUAAUUCUAUCUCAGAUUGUUGCCAUCUUCAUAACCAAACAUCUCCUAUUUCCCCAUAGCUUCUGCAAUGGAGAUUUGGGCAAAUCCUCAACUCCUCCAACCUUUGCCUCCGUCGACCGACCCGUUCCGUCGACCCCAUCCCGUCUCCACCUCAUUAUGAACCAUAUAUGUAUUUGCUACAAUAGAUUGACUAAAGAAUUUUAGUUUUAAUUUAUUUUUUAUAAAGAUGAUUUUACAGUGUGAUUCAUAGUAUGAACGAUUCUGAUUAUAAGCACAAAUCUUCGUGAUUAAAACAUUAAUAAUUUUGAAUAGGAGUUCCUACUUAUCUUUAAGUAGCUAAAUAUUAUUCAUCACCCUCAGAUGUCGAUUAGCAUAUACCUAUCUUAAUAUAUAAGGAUAUAAGAAUCGGGACGUGUCACAUAAUCCUAGACAAUUCAACAAGACUUGAGUGGAUCCCAGAAUGCUGACUAGAAAUGUGGUUUUCGUCUUCCAAAUACCGAUUGACGAAAAGUAGCACAUAUUGGGUAAAAUUCAAAGAAGCAGUUGAGCUGUCAACACUUUCAUUAAUGUACACAGAAAAACAAGUGCGGUCAAGUUCGUUUUGAGAUAAGGGAGGGUAGGAUUCUUUGGUAGUCCGAUGGCUUGGGCCUCUGAUCGUCUAAUUCUCUAUUGCCCUCGCUGUUGCUGUGAUUGUGCCAAGGGUUUGAUGCAUCUGCCAAGAAAAUGUUACUGAAAGCUUUGCUUGUUGUGUCCCUCCUCUUCCCAUUUUGCACAUCCAUUGACACCAUAGAAAUGGACCAACAUGUAAAGGAUGGUGAUCUUCUGGUGUCCAAAGGAAACAUCUUCGCAUUAGGGUUCUUCAGCCCCAGAAACUCCAGCUCCAGGUACGUCGGAAUUUGGUAUGUUCAAAACGAUCAAAAAGGUCAAAAGGUAGUGGUUUGGGUAGCAAACAGAAACGACCCCAUCAAUCAUACCUCCGGUGUCCUUACUAUAGACGGGUAUGGGAGACUGCUUUUUUAUUCUAACAAUAUGCAGAACAUUCCUGUGUGGUCUACAAAUGUGACGGUUCAAACUACGAGCACUAGUUGCAGGGCUCAGCUUUUAGAUUCUGGAAAUUUAGUUCUUUUCCGGGAUAAUAAAAGCAAAAAUUUUAUGUGGCAGAGUUUUGAUUAUCCUACAGAUACUCUCCUUCCGGGUAUGAAACUAGGCGUGAAUUGGAAAUUGGGGAUAGAAUGGGUCUUAACAUCUUGGAAGUCACAAGAUGACCCUGGAACUGGGGAAUACACCACUAGGCUCUAUUCCAAUCAGACAGCCACCCCCGAAUUUUUUACUUUUUAUAAAGGUUUGACUCCGCAUUGGCGAUCUGAUCCAGCGAACACGCGUACUAUUGUCAAUAAUCAGGGCGAAACGUAUUCCUUUGUUAAAAACGAUAGCACUCCAACAAGGGCGGUGUUGAAGGAUUCUGGGUUGCUGCAAAUCCUCAGGUGGAACAAGGCAGAUAGAGAAUGGAAGGAACUAUGGUCUGCGCCAAAAUAUCAGUGUGACCAGUAUGAAGAGUGCGGUGCCAACAGCAAAUGUAGUCCUGAUAAUAUCAAUUCGUUUGAGUGUGAGUGUCUGCCAGGGUAUGAACCGAAGUCUGUCAAUGAUUGGAAGAUGAGAGACGGUUCGGACGGGUGUGUGAGUAAACGAGUUGCAGUAUCAAAGUGUAGGAACGGAGAAGGUUUCAUGAAAGUGGCACGAGUUAAAGAUCCAGACACAACGAAAGCAGCACGGCUGGAAAAAGGUAUUAGUGUCAAAGAGUGUAAGCAGGUGUGCUUAAGCGAUUGUUCUUGCACUGCAUAUAUGAUCAUAGAAUCUGAAGGGCGCAGUGAUUGCUUGACAUGGUAUGGUAAGUUGCGGGACAUUUUAGUGUACACACAGGCAGGGCGAGAUCUGCAUGUACGAGUGGACAAAAUCGAAUUAGGUACCACUUCUUGCCAUGGAAAAGUUGCAAUAUAAAUUUUUGGAAUUUGCGGAACUUACUGUACUACUGGUUUUGUUAGUUUUUAAUCCUUUAUCCCACUCUUAUGUGUAGCUGAAAAUUUCAGAAAUUCGAAAGGUUUUCUUAAAAGGAGGGGCAUGCUGGCUAUUCUGAUGUUGUCUGUUCUUCUAGCAUUGGUACUGAUCGUUGCGUUGGCCUGUUGGAGGAUUAGGAAAAAGAGGAAGACAAAAGGUAAGAAGUAGUCAGCGAUUUUGAAUUCUCGAACAGUUUCAUCAAAUAAAAGCACUCCACUUGUAAUGCUUGUGCAGUUUGUAAAUCAUAUAAAAGCACUGCAAUUAGAUAGAAUCCAUAUGCGCGAGCUCGAUGUAAAACUUAUAUUUCUAUAUCGUUUGUCAAUGAAAAUAGAACAGUGAGAAGAAAAUGCAGACAAUGAUUUCUUUUAUUGUUAGCAGUUGAGAUUGAAGAAACUAGGAGACAUCCCGAAUUGCAGUUUUUCCAUCUGAGAACGAUAAUUGCAGCUACGAACAACUUCUCUCCCGUCCAAAAACUUGGCCAAGGUGGUUUUGGCACUGUUUAUAAGGUUAGUCCCACUUUCGAAAAGUUACAAAUUUCAUUAUUAAAGAAUAAUCACAACAUAAUGGCUUGAUAAAAUAAGUGAUGAUUAUGUGGAAGCUUAAUGAUAAAAUUGAGUAAAAACUUCAGGGUGUGUUACGAAAUAAUCAGAAUAUUGCUGUAAAAAGAUUAUCCAGAGCUUCAGGACAAGGAGUUGAAGAAUUCAAAAAUGAAGUUGCGCUGAUAGCGAGACUUCAACACAGGAAUCUCGUGAAACUUUUAGGCUGUUGCAUAAAGGGAGAAGAAAGGAUGUUAGUCCUGGAAUACUUGCCGAACAAAAGCUUGGACUACUUUCUUUUCGGUAUGUCUAUAGAGGAAAGAUUCAUUUGUUCACGCCAUUUCUCAAACUAUGAAGCAUAUCUUAGUCGAAUAUGUCACAUUUAUCUGCACAAUUAAAGCCAAAUAUCUUGAUGCAGAUCACACAAAAAAGUCCUUGCUGGAUUGGCAAAAGCGAUUCGAAAUCAUCAAUGGGGUUGCUCGUGGGGUUUUGUAUCUUCACCAAGACUCAAGACUUAGGAUUAUUCACAGGGAUCUAAAAACCAGCAAUGUCCUUCUAGACGCUGAGAUGAACCCAAAAAUAUCAGAUUUUGGCAUGGCAAGAAUCUUCCAUGGGGACCAACUCCAAGAUACGACCAACAGAGUUGUCGGAACAUAGUAAGAAUCGUUAUAAACUCACCUUCCAUUAGCUCUUUCAUCUCUUACUAUUCUUUGGAUGUAACGUUUUAUUUUCUUUAUAUGUAUAAUACAGUGGCUAUAUGUCACCGGAGUAUGCAGUGUUCGGGAGAUUUUCAACCAAAUCGGACGUUUUUAGUUUUGGGGUCAUAUUAUUGGAGAUUGUAAGUGGCAAGAAAAACAACGGUUUCUAUCAAGCGGAUCAUUUCGUAAACUUAAUAGGACAUGUGAGUAACACAAAUUGUGCAAACAACCAACCCUUUUUAUUUACUCAUCUCAUACAUGUUUAAAAUGAACUGUCAACUACAGGUUUGGCAGUUGUGGAGUGAAGACAGAGCCUUAGAAAUUGUGGAUUCAUCAUUGGAGUCAUACGCGCCCGACGAAGCCAUGAGAUGCAUACAAGUCGGGCUCUUGUGUGUCGAAGAAGAGUCGAAGAACAGACCAUCCAUGUCAGCUGUUGUUUUUAUGUUGAGCGGCGAAGCAUCUGCUCCAUCUCCUCAGCAGCCUGCAUUUUCCUUGAGAAAAAAUUCAUGCGGCGAUGCUGUUGUUCCGUCAGUUUCUGAAGGAUCGUGUUCUAUCAACGACGUGACAAUAACUAAAUUCGAAGGUCGAUAACUAAAUUAUGAUGUCAUCUGUGAUAAAGCAUGGUCUUUCGGAAACUGAAUCAUAUAUAUUGAAAUGAGACUUCAGUUAUAUAGGCUAUUUCAUACACUUUCAAAUACCUCUUGGAUGUAUCUAAUAAUAUAGAACUCUUUCCAACAGUUAUGUCGCCUAAUCAAAACGUUUUUAAUAUUAAUUAAAAACUUAAUCCAAAACUAAAAUCAGUUAAUAUACUUAUUAAAAUUACACCUAUUGGAGACCUUGUGUUCCUCGAUGUGGGAUAAUUGAGGCUUAAAAUUCCAACAGAUUCCAACAGGAUCCUCUUCGGAUUCUUUUAGAGAGGAUCCUGAUGAUUCGUAAAUUGUAUUCAUUUAUCGUACAUCGUGUGGUCAGUUUUUGUCAAAUACUGUUUGUAUUUAAUUUUAAAUAAAAAUAUUUAAAAUAAUUUAUAAUCGUACGAUGUACGGACAAAAUUAACGAAUCCUUAGGAUCCUCACAAAAAGUAUCUAGCGAGGAUCCGGAUUCCAACAGAUUAUUCUUUGACGAAACUGAUUUGACUGUCAACAUCCAAAGUCUCCUUGGUUUGAGUCGUGCUUGCUAGGUGCCGGGUAAACUCUUCAAACAAGCAGCAAUAAUUCCAACAGAAAAACAUAAACAUCAGCGGUAAUAGACUCUAGUGUAUACCUUUUAUUCUGCAGGUAUGUUGUUGCACAUGUACAUCGGUCAGGACAACAAAUUCUGCUCACUAUUUUCACUUCGAGAAGUUUAGUGUGUGGGGUGAAAUGAUCGAAUCAUGAGUUGGGGAUAGAACAUGUAAAAUUCUAGUUGUUUUUAUAUAUAAUGGUUGUGAAUAUCUUUGUAAAUUGUAAUAUUAUAGAUGCUUGUGGUUGUGGGCUGUUUUAAUUUUAUGAAAAAAUAAUUUUUUGUUUAGCCUCAAUCUCAAUUUGUAGGUGACAACUUUGUCAGGCACAAAAGGACCUUUAUUUGUGCUAACACUUUUCGGCACAACAUACCAUAUUGUGCUCUUUGAUCAAAGGCUACGCCUAUAGAGGGCACAAAUAGAAAUAUAGUUAUUGCACUGUUGCUAUUGGUCUAUGGGCAUAAUUGUUGGUGCUCUUUGGCCUCAAAGGAUCGUGUUCUAUCAACGACGUGACAAUAACUAAAUUCGAAGGUCGAUAACUAAAUUCUGCUGUCAUCUGUGAUAAAACAUGGUCUUUCUUGAACUGAAUCAAAUACGUUGAAAUGAGACUUCAGUUAUAUAGGCUAUUUCAUACACUUACAAAUACCUCUUGGAUGUAUCUAAUAAUACAGAACUCUUUCCAACAGUUAUGUCUCCUAAUCAAAAUGUUUUUAAUAUUAAUUACAAACUUAAUCCAAAACUAAAAUCAGUAAAUAUGCUAAUUAAAAUUACACCUAUUGGGGACCUUGUGUUCUUGUGUUCCUUGAUGUGGGAUAAUUGAGGCAUAAAACUCCAACAUAUUCCAACAAGAUCCUUUUCGGAUUCUUUUAGUGAGGAUCGUGAUGAUUUGUGAAUUGUGUCCAUUUAUCGUACAUGCAGUCAGUUUUUGUCAAAUAUUGUUUGUGUUUAAUUUUAAAUAAAAAUAUUUAAAAUAAUUUUUAAUCGUAUGAUAUACGAUAAACGGACAAAAUUGACGAAUCCUUGGAAUCCUCACAAAAAGUAUCCGGCGAGGAUCCAGAUUCCAACAGAUUAUUCUUUGACGAAACUGAUUUGACUGCCAACAUCCAAAGUCUCCUUGGUUUGAGUCGUGCUUGCUAGGUGCCGGGUAAACCCUUCAAACAAGCAGCAAUAAUUCCAACAGAUAAACAUAAACAUCAGCGACAAUUCUUCUGUCUUAAGAAAGAGACGGAUCAAAGUCGCACUUCUAAACAACACCGAUAUUAGUAUUUUUUUAAUUUAGUAGAUGAGAGCAUUCUCAAUUGAGACUUUUAUCUUCUAUGAAGCUACUACAUUAGGAGUCCUAGUAAGAAAUUUUAUCCCCAAUAAGCCGAAAAUGAGGUUAGAUCCAUUACUUGGGCUAGUAACUUCCUUUCCUAGGUUAGCAAAAAAUUAAGCUACAUCUAACUUUAAAAAGCAGUGAAUCCCACGAAAAGGGACGAUACUUGGACACUGGCUAGUCAGUGUCCAAUUUUAUUGACCCCAAAUAAAAAAAAUGACACUUGUCCUUUUUAAUUCUAUCUCAGAUUGUUGCCAUCUUCAUAACCAAACAUCUCCUAUUUCCCCAUAGCUUCUGCAAUGGAGAUUUGGGCAAAUCCUCAACUCCUCCAACCUUUGCCUCCGUCGACCACAUCCACGUCUCCUCCUCAUUCUCUCCUCCGUCGAACCCGCCCCCAAUCCACUAUCUUUUUCUCAUUACAACCAUGGGCAGAAAGGACAGAAAGCGGCUACUCGCUACCAGUAAUUGAGCAGUUGCAUGGGUGCUGUCAUGGCAGAGGAGAGAGUUGGGUAUGAGUAGGCGGGGUUGGGUUCGUUGAAGGAGAGAGAUUGAUGGAGAAAUUCGGGUUAAAUUUGACGUGGACGGGGAUGAGAUCUGCGGCAUGGGACAGAGGAGAGAGGAACUGUUUGGUUAUAGGUGUAAGGUUAAAGUUGGUUGCUUGGUUAUAGGUAUAGAGAGUUUUAAAUGACAGAUGCCUUGAUUUGAUUGGGUUAAAUGGUAAUGUGAGUGUAUUCGGUCCUCACAAGUAUUAUCCCACGAAAAAAAGUAGAUACCUAUGUGCGAAAAAAGUAGAUAUUUAUGUGAGCCAAAAUUUUCCACUCUUCCCCCUCUCAACCGUUGGUUGCAAAUACACUCGUACUCUCUUUUUAUUCUUUUUUUUAAUUAUUUUUCUUUACAUUAUUUUGUUUCAAGGAUCCUCUAUUUUAUUGGCAUGUUUAAUGUUUAGGACAUAAAAUGAUAUAAGAUGUUUUGCAUCUAAAAGGGCUUACUUUUAUUAAUUUCCAAAUAAAAGUGCACUACAUAUUAAAUGACAUUGGAAGUUUGGAGACCUAAACUGAAAACAUAAACAAACAACAUACCUAAAUUGGAAGGGCAUUACAAUUUAGUUAUGAGAUAAAAUCUUAUCUUGUCCGAUUUCAGAUAAACAAACCAACAAAUAAAAUUGAGAUAAGAAAACAUAAUCUAACGGUUCAUAAGUGAUGAACUCUAACUUUGUCAGAAUUUACAUUUUUUUAGGUUGAAAUGUUCAUAAAUUCUUUUUUGAGAUAGCACAUCCAAAAAUUAACUUAAGAAAAAGUUAAUACAAACAAAAUUUGUCACAUAAUCAAAUUACUACAUAAAUAAAUAUAUAUAGCCCUAUAAAGAGCCAGAAAGUAAGUAGCCCCUCAUUGAGAGAUAUUCUUUUCUAGAGCCUCAAAUAUUCCUCCGAGCUCUAAAAUGAGCUAUAUCCACUAUUUUUUCCAACCCAUAUAUAGGCCCUCACUGGGGAUGCUCUUACUACCUGCACAGUUCGACAAAUGUGAGGUUUUAUUACAAAAUGUCAAGAUAUUAGUUGGAAUCCACCUAACACGUGGCAAUACAGGCCUGCUCACUGGCUCUAAUACUAUGUCAACUUAUCAUAGAGAAGAUCCAAAGUCUCACUUUCAACAACACAGAUAUUGUUUACAACUUAAUAGUUACCACAUGUACAGUCAGACCAAUGCGAGGUUUUAUCAAAAAAAAAAAGCUUUAGAAUUAAUUGGGAUUUUUCAGGCCCGACAACUCUAGUAGUUCCAGGUACGUCGUAAUCUGAUAUGCAAAGAAACCUGAAAAAAACAGUUGUUUUGGGUGGCGCAAACAGAGACAACCCCAUCAACGACAGUUCCGGAGUUGUAGAAAUUCUGCUGCUGGGAACAUUUCGAUUUGGUCCACGAAUGUCUGUCCAUGUCCAAACCAGAAGCACUUUUGUAGCUCAGCUUUUAGAUUCUGGAAAUUUUGUAGUACGACUUUAGUGGCCGUUGACAGAGGACUAAUUUCUAAUUUAUUUGGAUUGAAUUCAGAAUUUCAACGGGAUAAAAAUGGGCAUUAUUUCACACAGCACGUUCUCGAUUUUUGGCCUGUGAAUCGCAUGAUGGUGGCCAAGAAUAGGCAGAAAUGCUUAUGUGAAUCUUCCGGAUUACUAAAUGAUGGAUUGCCGUUGUUGGAUUAUGUGGCCAAGUGGCCAUAUACUUUAGAUUAAACAAACCAAAGGUGGACAACACCUUUCCUUGUUUUGGGGAGGAAAAUAGGGAAAAGGUUUUUUGUCUUGGUCCAUGGGAAGUCACGGUUGAGGUUUUGAAUAAUAAGUUUUGGUUGUAAUGAGAAGUAAGAGUGGGAUAGAAGAGAAGAAAAUAGAGUGCAGAAAAUUGAGAGAGCCGAAGAGAAGAGAGGGAGAGAAAGAAGGUACUGCUACAGUACCAUUUUCAGAGAAGGGGUUGUUGUUCCUUUCAUUGGAUAAUUCUCACUCCAUCAAAGUGUUAUUGUUGUAAUAGCUUUGAGCUUUGUAUAGAGAAGAAAUUAAUCACUAUAUUUCUUUCUCUAUUUGUUUCUUUAGAGUGUGAGUUAUUGGGUUAUUUGGGUUGUGAGAUUGCCAACACUUUGUAAACUCCCAUUUGGUUGAUAGUGGAUUCUUGGGUGAGCUCCUACUGCUCCGAGGACGUACUCCAGUUACACUGACUGUUGAGGAACCUCGUUAAAAUCUUGGUGUCUUUAAUAUUUUGUUCUUGCAUUUUAUUUGAUAUAUUUCCUGUGGGUUAGCUUGAGUUGGUUCCACAAGGGUUUGGUGCUAUCCUAGCACAACAGCCGUCACAAAGUCACCAGCUAGUUCAUUUUUAAAAAAUAAAAAGUUACAAAAAAUGGAGAAUUUAGUAAAGGAGAAAGUGGGUUGUGUACCACAUGAUGGUAUUAUUAUGAUUAUAUAUGGUUUUGGAAUAAACUGCUACCUCCUGAACUUUCACUUAGUUUACGAUUUUCCUCUUACCAUUAGUUUUCCAUAGAUUUCAUCUAAACUAGCGUUAAUUCUUAUCAUGUGCACAUCACGUGUAUCUCCUUUGAGAGCAUAAGUGUCACUUUGUUGAUCAAGAGCAUUUAUCCAUUCACCGUUCAAUUUGCUCUUCUCAAUAUCGCUUGUAUUAAUUUCCAAACCAGAACAACGUUACAAGAAGCAAAUGUAGAGAAUGGGGAUCAAUCUAAGAAACCCCAGCAGCACAUCAUAUUUACAAUUACAAUUUUACACAUGGACAAUGAAAUCUUCUUCCUCACAUAGUUUACACCUUCCACAACUGAAAACACAGCAAUUACAAGGUGGAGCAGGAAUCUAAAGCAGUUCUACUUCCCGAUGGGGACCACAGCAAUCCUGAAUGUAGAAUGUUUUCCUUCCCGAUGGCAAAGGCAUAACAAUCCUUCUAGCGGAAGAUAUCAAAUGGAAAGUCCGACUUCCAAUCAUAGCUAUGGCCACUUUCUGGAAUGGCAAAUACCCGGCUUAUUUAACUCGUGGAUAUUCACAUGAAUCUUUACUUUUCUAUAAGCUGCAGGGGUCAGGGGAUUUGAUCGAGACAAUAGGUGGCGGUUGUAGCUCAAAGAACGAUUUUGCACCUUCUCCAAGGCUACCUAUGCAUAUCGUAUCGGACUCGGCUUUUCAGCUCUCCCAAUUCUCAUACUCUUAUCUUCUUCUAUUUAUGCGGUCAUGGUUAAAUCACGUCAACAUUUUAUAUCAUUAUUGCUUUCUUAUUAUCUCUAUAAAAAAAUCAAUAUAAUAUAUUGACGUGGCUUAAUCGUGACCGCACAAAAUAGAAGGGAAUGAGAGUGUAUGAAAACUGGGAGGGCAGAGAAGCCGGGUCCUAUCGUAUCGCCCCGACCAUGCCAGGUGCCAUGUUGGAGACUUGGACAUUGUUCAUCUCCAAUGUUCUGGAUUCCUGCUCAUAGUGUAAGAAUAGCAUCCAUAAGUUUCAAAAAAUUAGAUAAUUAAUCAGAAUUAUAAGAUCUGUCCAUAAUUUAGGCAUAGGUUCUCGAAGGAUAAUCACCUGACAUAAUGUACAGCACGGGCAGAUGAGAUGGUAGAUGCAAUCAUCCAAGGAACUAUCACUACCCUGAAAAUAACAGGCAUUGCCCGCAACAAUGUUAGGGUAGUUUGUGUAUAACCACGAAAACGAUUAGAAGGCAAGGAUUAGAAUAACCAUAGAUUCAUGAAACAAUUCAUUACAAUUGCAAUGAUCGAUCAUAUAGCAGUAACAGCACCCUCUCCACGAGGAGGGAAAAGCAAACCAUCUAACCUAGCACACCCAGUUUCCGAAUUUUUGUAUACCUAGUGUUGCUUUUCUUCCUUGAGUAACCAAUUUAAGUCAUUAGACUUGAACAUUGUUAAUUAGAAGAAUUAGUAAGGGAUAGUAACGAGGCAAAUACUAAUAUAACAAAGAGAAACACCAAUUCAGGUAACAGCAUAUAUUAACGGUUGGUUCUAUCGUUAUUUUCGAGUCUUCUUGGUGUAGGACCUACUUUCUUUGCAAUCUUGUUUAUUUUAAAAUAUUCAUUUCGUACUCUUUUUUAUUAGCUGUAUGUUCUGAAUUCAUUCCUGUAAUUGCAUAUUUCAUUAUAUUCAAAUUUACAUAUUUUAUUUACGUUCGUUCUAUCGUUAUAAUUUUUAUGCAUGUUUAAAAUGACUUCAUCAUCCUCGAAUGUGGUCAGCGUAUAUCCAUUGUAAUAUAUGGGAUAUCAGGGUUGGAUGUGUCACAUUAUCCAAGACAAUUCAACAAGACUUGAGUGGAUCCCAGAAUGCUGACUAGAAAUGUGGUUUUCGUCUUCCAAAUACCGAUUGACGAAAAGUAGCACAUGUUGGGUAAAAUUCAAAGCAGGACCGCUGUCAACACUAUCAUUAAUGUACACGGAAAAACAAGUGCGGUCAAGUCCGAUGGCUUGCGGUCAAAAUCCGAUGGUUUUGAGCUAUAUGAGGGUAGGAUUCUUUGGUAGUCCAAUGGCUUGGGCCUCUGAUCGUCUAAUUCUCUAUUGCCCACUCAGAUGCUGUAAUUGUGCCAAGGGUUUGAUACAUGCAUCUGCCAAGAAAAUGUUACUGAAAGCUUUGCUUGUUUUUUCCCUCAUCUUCCCAUUUUGCACAUCCAUUGACACCAUAGAAAUGGACCAAAAUGUAAAGGAUGGUGAUCUUCUGGUGUCCAAGGAAAACAUCUUCGCAUUAGGGUUCUUCAGCCCCAGAAACUCCAGCUCCAGGUACGUCGGAAUUUGGUAUGCUCAAAAAGAUGAAAAAGAUCAAAAGGCAGUGGUUUGGGUAGCAAACAGAAACGACCCCAUCAAUGAUACCUCCGGUGUCCUAACUAUAGACAGGUAUGGGAGACUGCUUCUUUAUUCUAACAAUAUGCAGAACGUUCCUGUGUGGUCUACAAAUGUGACGGUUCAAACUGCGAGCACUAGUUGCAGGGCUCAGCUUUUAGAUUCUGGAAAUUUAGUUCUUUUCCGGGAUAAUAAAAGCAAAAAUUUUAUGUGGCAGAGUUUUGAUUAUCCUACAGAUACUCUCCUUCCGGGUAUGAAACUAGGCGUGAAUUGGAAAUUGGGGAUAGAAUGGGUCUUAACAUCUUGGAAGUCACAAGAUGACCCUGGAACUGGGGAAUACACCUAUAGGCUCUAUUCCAAUCAGACUGCCACCCCCGAAGUUUUAACUUUUUAUAAAGGUUUGACUCCGCAUUGGCGAGCUGAUUUAGUGGACGUGGGGCGAUCUGAUCCACUGGACGUGGGGCGAUCUGAUCCACUGGACGUGGUUACUUUUGUCAGUAAUCAGGACGAAAUGUAUUACUUUCUUAAAACGAUAGCACUUCAACAAGGGUGGUGUUGAAGGAUUCUGGGUUACUGCAACACCUCAGGUGGAACAAUGCGGAUAGAGAAUGGAAGGAACUAUGGUCUACGCCAAAAUAUCGGUGUGACCAGUAUGGAGAGUGCGGUGCCAACAGCAAAUGUAGCCCUGACAAUAUCAAUUCGUUUGAGUGUGAGUGUCUGCCAGGGUAUGAACCGAAGUCUGUCAAUGAUUGGAAGAUGAGAGAUGGUUCGGACGGGUGUGUGAGUAAACGACUUGCGGUAUCAAAGUGUAGGAACGGAGAAGGGUUCAUGAAAGUGGCACGAGUUAAAGAUCCAGACACAACCAAAGCAGCACGGCUGAAAAAAGGUAUUAGUAUCAAAGAGUGUGAGCAGAUGUGCUUAAGCAAUUGUUCUUGCACUGCAUAUACGGUCAUAGAAUCUGAAGGGCGCAGUGAUUGCUUGACAUGGUAUGGUGAGUUGCUGGACAUUUUAGUGUACACACAGCUAGGGCGAGAUCUACAUGUACGUGUGGACAAAAUCGAAUUAGGUACCACUUCUUGCCAUGGAAAAGUUGCAUUAUAAAUUUUUGGAAUUUGUGGAACUUACUGUACUACUGGUUUUGUUAUUUUUUAAUCCUUUAUCCCACUCUUAUGUGUAGCAGAAAAUUCAAGAAAUUCGAAAGGUUUUCUUAGAAGCAGGGGUAUGCUGGCUAUUCUGAUGUUGUCUGUUGUUCUAGCAUUGGUACUGAUGGUUGCGUUGACCUGUUGGAGGAUUAGGAAACAGAGGAAGACAAAAGGUAAGAAGUAGUCAGCGAUUUUGAAUUCUCGAACGGUUUCAUCAAAUAAAAGCACUCCACUUGUAAUGCUUGUGCAGUUUGUAAAUCAUAUCAAAGCACUGCCAUUAGAUAGAAUCCAUACGCACAAGCUCGAUGUAAAACUUAUAUUUCUAUAUCGUUUGUCAAUGAAAAUAGAACAGUGAGAAGAAAAUGCAGACAAUGAUUUCUUUUAUUGUUAGCAGUUGAGAUCGAAGAAACUAGGAGACAUCCCGAAUUGCAAUUUUUCCAUCUGAGAACGAUAAUUGCAGCUACGAACAACUUCUCUCCCGUCCAAAAACUUGGCCAAGGUGGUUUUGGCACUGUUUAUAAGGUUAGUCCCACUUUCGAAGAGUUACAAAUUUCAUUAUUAAGGAAUAAUCACAACAUAAUAGCUUCACAAAAUAAGUGAUGAUUAUGUGGAAGCUUAAUGAUAAAACUGAAUGAAAACUUCAGGGUGUGUUACGAAAUAAUCAGAAUAUUGCUGUAAAAAGAUUAUCCAGAGCUACAGGACAAGGAGUUGAAGAAUUCAAAAAUGAAGUUGCAUUGAUAGCGAGACUUCAACACAGGAAUCUUGUGAAACUUUUAGGCUGUUGCAUAAAGGGAGAAGAAAGGAUGUUAGUCCUGGAAUACUUGCCGAACAAAAGCUUGGACUACUUUCUUUUCGGUAUGUCUAUAGAGGAAAGAUUCAUUUGUUCACGCCAUUUCUCAAACUAUGAAGCAUAUCUUAGUCGAAUAUGUUACAUUUAUCUGCACAAUUAAAGCCAAAUAUCUUGAUGCAGACAAAAAAGUCCUUGCUGGAUUGGCAAAAGCGAUUCGAAAUCAUCAACGGGGUUGCUCGUGGGGUUUUGUAUCUUCACCAGGAUUCAAGACUUAGGAUUAUUCAUAGGGAUCUAAAAACCAGCAAUGUCCUUCUAGACGCUGAGAUGAACCCAAAAAUCUCAGAUUUCGGCAUGGCAAGAAUCUUCCAUGGGGACCAACUCCAGGAUACGACCAACAGAGUUGUCGGAACAUAGUAAGAAUCGUUAUAAACUCACCCUCCAUUAGCUCUUUCAUCUCUUACUAUUCUUUGGCUGUAACGUUUUAUUUUCUUUAUAUGCUUAAUACAGUGGCUAUAUGUCACCGGAGUAUGUAGUGUUUGGGAGAUAUUCAACCAAAUCAGAUGUUUUUAGUUUUGGGGUCAUAUUAUUGGAGAUUGCAAGCGGCAAGAAAAACAGCAGUUGUUAUCAAGAGGAUCAUUUCGUAAACUUAAUAGGACAUGUGAGUAACACAAAUUGUGCAAACAACCAACCCUUUUUAUUUACUCAUCCCAUACAUGUUUAAAUGAACUGUCAACUACAGGUUUGGCAGUUGUGGAGUGAAGACAGAGCCUUAGAAAUUGUGGAUUCGUCAUUGGAGUCAUACGCGCUCGACGAAGCCAUGAGAUGCAUUCAGGUCGGGCUCUUGUGUGUCGAAGAAGAGUCGAAGAAUAGACCAUCCAUGUCAGCUGUUGUUUUUAUGUUGAGCGGCGAAGCAUCUGCUCCAUCUCCUCAGCAGCCUGCAUUUGCCUUGAGAAAAAAUUCAUGCGGCGAUGCUGUUGUUCCUUCAGUUUCUGAAGGAUCGUGUUCUAUCAACGACGUGACAAUAACUAAAUUCGAAGGUCGAUAACUAAAUUCUGAUGUCAUCUGUGAUGAAACAUGGUCUUUCGGGAACUGAAUCAUAUACAUUGAAAUGAGACUUUAGUUAUAUAGGCUAUUUCAUACACUUUCAAAUACCUCUUGGAUGUAUCUAAUAAUACAGAACUCUUUCCAACAGUUAUGUCGCCUAAUCAAAACGUAAUAUUAAUUAAAAACUUAGGGGGGUGUAUUCAAUUAGGAUUUUGAGGGAUUUUAAUUCUUUUAAUGAAUCUAAGGGUUCAAUCAUGAAUUUAAGUGAUUCUCUGAAAUUCAAUGUGUAUUCAAUCAAGAUUUUAAGAUAGUUUAUGAAAAUCCUUAGAAAUCCGGGUGUAUUCAAUUAGAAUUUUAAAGAAGUUUAUAACAUUCCAGGUGUAUUCAAUUAGAAUUUGAUUUUAAAGAAUUUGAGAAAGUUGAGGAAUUAGAGGGAAUUGGAGAGAUUUCGUAGUGUAUUUUGAGCAUCCACAAAUCUCACAUCCCCCAAGAGAUUUCGAGGGAAUUGAAUCAAAAUUUUACAUGGAAUCUCUACAAAUCAAUUAAACUCCAUAAAAAUCCAUUAAAAUCUCUCAAAUUCUCAAUUGAAUACACCUUCCUUAAUCCAAAACCUAAAAUCAGUUAAUAUACUAAUUAAAAUUACACCUAUUGGAGACCUUGUGUUCCCCGAUGUGGGAUAAUUGAGGCAUAAAAUUCGAACAGAUUCCAACAGGAUCCUCUUCAGAUUCUUUUAGUGAGGAUUCUGAUGAUUCGUGAAUCGUGUCCAUUUAUCGUACAUCGUACGGUCAAUUUUUGUCAAAUACUGUUUGUGUUUAAUUUUAAAUAAAAAUAUUUAAAAUAAUUUAUAAUUGUACGAUGUACGAUGAACGGAUAAAAUUGACAAUCCUUGGGAUCCUCACAAAAAGUAUCCGGCUAGGAUCCGGAUUCCAACAGAUUAUUCUUUGACGAAACUGAUUUGACUGUCAACAUCCAAAGUCUACUUGGUUUGAGUCGUGCUUGCUAGGUGCCGGGUAAACUCUUCAAACAAGCAGCAAUAAUUCCAACAGAAAAACAUAAACAUCAGCGGUAAUAGUCUCUAGUGUAUACCUUUUAUUCUGCAGGUAUGUUGUUGCACAUGUACAUCGGUCAGGACAACAAAUUUUGCUCACUAUUUUCACUUCGAGAAGUUUAGUGUGUGGGGUGAAAUGAUCGAAUCAUGAGUUGGGGAUAGAACAUGUAAAAUUCUAGUUGUUUUUAUAUACAAUGGUUGUGAAUAUCUUUGUAAAUUGUAAUGUUAUAGAUGCUUGUGGUUGUGGGCUGUUUUAAUUUUAUGAAAAAAUAAUUUUUUGUUUAGCCUCAAUCUUAAUUUGUAGGUGACAACUUUGUCAGAACUGGGCACUAAAGGACAUUUACUUGUGCUUACACUUUUUGGCACAACAUACCUUAUUGUGCUCUUUGAUCAAAGGCUACGCCUAUAGAGGGCACAAAUAGAAAUAUAGUUGAUGCACUGUUGCUAUUGGUCUAUGGACACAAUUGUUGGUGCUCUUUGGCCUCAAAGGACACAUAUAAUUUAUUGUGUGCAGUGCCCAUAUUUUUUGUAGUGUGCAGGUUUGGUAGCUCUGGAGAGAAGACAGAGCAUUAAAAGUUGUGGAUUCAUCGGUAGAGAGUAGAGACCUUUCAGUCGAAUGAGUAAUGCAACGCAUUCAAGUUGGCUUCUUAUGCGUGGAAGAAGAUUUGAAGGACCGACCAACCAUGUCAGCCUUUUUUGUUGAGUGUUGUGAAACAUCUCCUCCAUCUCCUAAACAGCCUGCAUUUGUCUUCAGAAAAAGUUCAUGCGAUGAUGAUGCGGAUCCAUUAAUUCCGAAAGGGUCAGGUUCUAUUAACGACUUAACAAUAAUUGCAUUUGAAGCUCGUUAGUUGUUAAUGAUGCAGGCUAUUUGAAGCUUGUUCCGAAAGGGUCAGAUAAUGCACGUGUUGUUACACCCACCCCAAGUUAUAAAAAUAUAAUUAUGUAAUUAUCCCCUAAAUCUUAUGAAUCUAUCAAUUUAGUCCUAUUUUGACUACCCAAUCAGGAUUAUUCCCAAGCUGCCACGUGGCAGAAACCCAAGACUUCUCUCUUUUCUCUCUCUGUCCCCUGCCACUCCCGUGAACCCCCAUUUUCUUCCUCUUUCUGUCUCUCCCUUCUCUCCCUUUCGGAUCCCUCAUUUCUCUCUCUCUCUUUUCCGAGACACACAUACACACACACACACACACACCCAGUUACCUCAUCUACGAGGAAGACGCCGCCAUCAUCAAUCCCUCGUCCUUCUUUCUCUCUCUUUCCCGUGCUACGAGGAAGAACCCAGAAACGAACUCUGGCGAGAUUUCUAUUCCUCCGGUUAGGUAAGCCUCGAUUUCCCUCUAUUUCGUCCUAAAUUCAUGCGAGAAUGUGUUUUAAUGGGUUGUACCUUGUUAAUUUCGAAGUUUUAGAACAAAACCAGGUCGGGUGAAGGCACACCUAGCUCCGGCGAGGCCGUGGGUGUCGAGGGAAUCUCCGGUCAUCUCCGGCCGUUCUACGGCAAAAGGAAGGUAUAAAGUUGUUCCUCUAGUCUUGUACUUCGAUUUGAUACCUAGAUCGGACCCUAAAAGCUAGGUUUGAGGCCGGCCGGAGCUGUAGAAGCUCUAGCGUUCUUCUCCGUCGACGCCAGCCUUUCAGGCCGUUUCUUAGUCACUCGGGCCUUAGGCCCGUGGUGAGUCUAGCCCAAACCCAUAACUCAGUUUCUUUUUAUUUUAUUUAAUUGUUUUAAUAACCCAAGAGGCCUUCGGGCCGUUAUGUUUAGGGCCUGUAGCCCAUUAGACCAACCCAAAACCUUUUUAGGUUUUUUUUAUUUUUGUUUUACAAAUUAAGGCCCUUGGGCCAUUUUUAUUCAGGGCCUUAGGCCCGAGUGUUUAGAAACCUUUAUAGUUAAGGCCCUUGGGCCAUUUAGAGCUUGGGCUUUCAGCCCUUUCCCAAACCCAUUAACCUCAAUCUAAACCCAAAAUCCUUAGGGCCCAAUCGGCCCAACCCAAUCCAAGCCCAGUCUGACCUUUGACCCAGUUGACCGUUGACUAGGUCAACGGUCAGCAAUGUCCUUCUAGACGCUGAGAUGAACCCGAAAAUCUCAGAUUUCGGCAUGGCAAGAAUCUUCCAUGGGGACCAACUCCAGGAUAUGACCAACAGAGUUGUCGGAACAUAGUAAGAAUCGUUAUAAACUCACCUUCCAUUAGCUCUUUCAUCUCUUACUAUUCUUUGGCUGUAACGUUUUAUUUUCUUUAUAUGCAUAAUACAGUGGCUAUAUGUCACCGGAGUAUGCAGUGUUUGGGAGAUUUUCGACCAAAUCGGAUGUUUUUAGUUUUAGGGUCAUAUUAUUGGAGAUUGUAAGCGGCAAGAAAAACAACAGUUUCUAUCAAGCGGAUCAUUUCCUAAACUUAAUAGGACAUGUGAGCAACACAAAUUGUGCAAACAACCAACCCUUUUUAUUUACUCAUCCCAUACAUGUUUAAAAUGAACUGUCAACUACAGGUUUGGCAGUUGUGGAGUGAAGACAGAGCCUUAGAAAUUGUGGAUUUGUCAUUGGAGUCAUACGCGCCCGACGAAGCCAUGAGAUGCAUCCAGGUUGGGCUCUUGUGUGUUGAAGAAGAGUCGAAGAACAGACAAUCCAUGUCAGCUGUUGUUUUUAUGUUGAGCGGCGAAGAUCUGCUCCAUCUCCUCAGCAACCCGCAUUUGCCUUGAGAAGAAAUUCAUGCGGGAUGCUACAGUUCCAUUACUUUCCAAUGGAUGGUGUUCUAUCAACGACGUGACAAUAACUAAAUUCGAAGGUCGAUAACUAAAUUCCGAUGUCUGUGAUAAAACAUGGUCCUUCGGGAACUGAAUCAUAUACGUUGAAAUGAGACUUCAGUUAUAUAGGCUAUUUCAUACAUUUUCAAAUACCUCUUGGAUGUAUCUAAUAAUACAACUCUGUCCAGCAGUUUGUUUCCUAAUCAAAACAUUUUUGAUAUUAAUUAAAAAUUUAAUCCGAAACUAAAAUUAGUUAAUAUACGAGUUAAAAUCACACCUAUUGGAGAACUUGUGUUCCUGAUGUGGGACAAUUGAGGCAUAAAACUCCAACAGAUUAUUCUUUGACGAUACUGAUUUGACUGUCAACAUCCAAAGUCUCCUUGGUUUGAGUCGUGCUUGCCAGGUGCCGGGUAAACUCUUCAGACAAGCAGCAGAAAUUCCAACAAAAACAUAAACAUCAACGACAAUUCUUCUGUCAAAUUAUAAAAGAGACGGCUAAAGUCUCACUUCUAACAACAUCGAUAUUGUUUUCAAUUUUGUUACCACCUUCACAAUCCGACAUGUGUGAAGUUUAUUACAAAAUGUCACGGUAUUAGUUGGAAUCAAACCAACACGUGACUGUACGGGCCUGCUCGUUGGCUCUGAUACAAUGUCAAAUUAUCAUAGAGAUGAGCCAAAGUCUCACUUCCAACAAUACCAAUAUUGUCCCUAACUUGUUAAUUACCACCAGCAUAGUCAGACUAGUGUGAGAUUUUAUCACAAAAAAACUUCGGUAUUAAUUGGGAUUCUUCAGGCCCGACAACUCCAGUAGUUCCAAGUACGUCUGAAUUUGGUACGCAGACAAACUUGAAAAAAAUAGUUGUUUGGGUGGAGUGGCAAACAGAGACAAUCCCAUCAAUGAGAGAUUUUUCAGUGUAGAGAAAUUUUUAAUUGUGACGAUGGUAUACCUAGGGGUGGGCAAACAGGUCCUGGACCCGUGGGUCGGGACGGGUCCAAAAAUUCGAAACACCAAACGGGGUGGGUCUAUGAAAUUAGAGGGGAGGGGCGGGUCCAAAAAUAAGAAGGAACGAGCCCUCGACGAGGGCCGUUUGUAGCAUAUGAGAUAAUGGAUUUGAUUAGUGUGACACCGUGGGCCUCGACUUACAAGGUUGCCCACCAAAUUGGACCAGAUUUAGGAGGCCCUUAAGGUCUCUGGAACCAUCCUCUCAGAUACGUUGAAAUGAGAUUUCAUCGAGAACUGAAUCAUAUACGUUGAAAUGAUCCAUCGGGAACUGAAUCAUAUACGUUGAAAUGAGAUUUCAGUUAUAUAGGCUAUUUCAUACACUUUCAAAUACCUCUUGGAUGUAUCUAAUAAUACAGAACUCUUUCCAACAGUUAUGUAUCCUAAUCAAAACGUUUUUAAUAUUAAUUAAAAACUUAAUCCGAAAUUAAAAUCAGUUAAUAUACUAAUUAAAAUUACACCUAUCAACAUAUUAUUCUUUGACUAGGUAAGAGAUCCCCUUUGGAUUUAAUCCACUAAAACCAUCGGAUCAAGUGAUCCGAGCCUUCCAAAUUUCAUCUAAUGAUAAAAAGUUAUCAUAGUUUUUAAAGAAUCAAAAUAGGUGAGCCUUUGGAUAAAAUUUAAAAGAACCGAUCACUUGAUCUGGUGGCCUUGGUGGAAAGAGAUCCUCCCUUUGACAAAACUGAUUUGAUUGUCAAGAUCCAAAGUCUCCUUGGUUUGAGUCAUGCUUGCCAGGUGCUGGGUAAACUCUUCAGACAAGCAGCAGAAAUUCCAACAAAAACAUAAACAUCAGCGACAAUUCUUCUGUCAAAUUAUAAAAGAGACGGCUAAAGUCUCACUUCUAACAACACCGGUAUUGUUUUCAAUUUAGUUACCACCUACACAGUCCGACAUGUGUGAAGUUUUAUUACAAAAUGUCACGGUAUUAGUUGGAAUCAAACCAACACGUGACUGUACGGGCUUGCUCGUUGGCUCUGAUACCAUAUCAAAUUAUCAUAGAGAUGAGCCAAAGUCUCACUUCCAACAAUAUCGAUAUUGUCCUCAACUUGUUAAUUACCACCGGCACAGUCAGACCAGUGUGAGAUUUUAUCACAAAAAAACUUCGGUAUUAAUUGGGAUUCUUCAGGCCUGACAACUCCAGUAGAUCCAGGUACGUCGGAAUUUGGUAUGCAAACAAACCUGAAAAAAACAAUUGUUUUGGUGGCGUGGCAAACAGAGACAAUCCCAUCAACAAGAGAUUUUUUAGUGUGGAGAAAUUUUUAAUUGUGACGGGAACACAGGUGAUAUACCUAGGGUGGGCAAACGGGUCCUGGACCCGUGGGUCGGGGCGGGUCCAAAAAUUCGAAACACAAAACGGGGUGGGUUUAUGAAAUUAACGGGGCUGGGUGGGUCCAAAAAUAAGAAGGAACGAGCCCCCGGCCAGGCCCGUAUGUAGCAUAUGGGAUAAUGGAUUUGAUUAGUGUGACGCCGUGUCCCUCGACUUACAAGGUUGCCCACCAAAUAGGACCAAAUUUAGAAGGCCCUUAAGGUCUCUGGAACCAUCCUCUCAGAGCAUUUUUAUUUUUAUAUGAUUUAAUUAAAGGGAAUUUUAAUGAAAAGCCCACGGUACUAUUCACUUUAUUGAAAAAUCACAUUUUUACACUAAAAAGUCAAACAUGCUACUAUUCACUUUACCUUUUAUUUUGUCCUUAUCGUUAAAACUCAAAGUUUUCAAACCCUUUUCAUUAGUUUUCCUUUAAUUAAAUCCCCUCAUCUCAGACUCCUAGACUCCCCCACUUUCUUUCUCCAUUUCUCAACUUUCUUGUUCUUUUCUCCCCCCAACCCUUUAAUCGACCGUCACGACAUCACAUCAGCCACCACACGAGUCACGGUAUCACCUCACCAUCGUUCUUAAACCUAGAAACCUUUCUGAGAGUGACUUAGUUGAUUCGAAUUCGACUACGUCGACAUCUCACAACAACUAGCCACCACGAGAUUACGUGACACGCCCCGAUCCCGAUGUCCUAGGGACAAAGGGAUGGUCACGUGCUGGUCGACACCCGAAGGGUGACGAAAGCCAUUUAUUGAGUACAAAUGCUGACAACAAGGGAUAGAUCAGACUUAUAAAUAUAAGAGAAUAAAGAAUAUGUAUUUAAGGAACGUGUUCAGAGCACACAUCUAAUCUAGAACAUUAAAAGAAUUAAUAUAAAAAUUGAAUGAACACAGAAGUGGGUCCUACACCGAGAGGACUCGAAGAUACCGAUGCGGAAGUGCCUGGAUGCCGGGAUUGUAUGCCUCGAUUCUAAAUCCUGAAGGGGGCGCAAAACAAACAUGAGUGGACCAAGUUGAUAUAUAUAUAAUAAAACAGUUAUCAACGUACUAACCCCCAGGUUUUAUGAAAACACAUAUAUAAUGAUAAACAUAGGUUUUCUGAAACCUAGCAUGAUGUGCAGUAUCUCAAAUCAUAACUCAUAUAUAAUAAUCACUAGUGAAUUGUCCGAUAACCCCCAGGCCCCAUGCCGGCUCCCCGUCUCUGAGCAGACAGUCAGAGGAAAAUACACUUCAGGCCCCAUGCCGGCUCCCCGUCUCUGUGCUAAAUAGCCAGAGGAAACACACUUCAGGCCCUAUGCCAACACCAAACCGUCGCCCGGGACGGACCGGAAUCUAUCCCUACGUCCCGUAGCGGAAAGGACCACUAGGUAAGUACAAACCAUUGAACAUAUAUAUAUUGAAAAACAACUUCAUAGUAUAAAGUCAUCCAUCAUCUAUACUAUAAAGAGGUGAUCGAAACAUGUUCUAAAUAUCAUAUCGUCAUCCAUCGGAUAUUCUAUAAGAACAUGGGUUAUAGGAAAAAUAGUAAUAAUUCAAACUAGCCUUAGUAAGCAUGUUAUCUCACAAAACGUUUCAUAAAACGUAAUCAUCAAAUCAUGCUUUUUAUGUAUGCAUUUCUACUAUAAAACAUGCAUUUUAGAAGGGGUCCACUCACAGUACUUAGCCGUCGAAGAGCCACGCAAACUAGCAACCACGAAAACGUCACCAAUAUUGCCCCUAAGCACAUAAAGGGUCCAAUUAAUAAAACUCUAUUAUAACAAUUGAAUUUGGGAAAACGAACAUUGGAAACGGAUUCAGAACGUCGAGUUACCCUAAGAAGGGUCCCGGACGAAAACCCGAAAAGUCCACCCUAAAGUCAACGUUGACCGGAGGUCAACAGUCAAAUUAGGUCAAACGGGUUUUAGGCUUGACAUCUGGAUUAGGGUUUAGGUUUAGGUUAACUAGGAUUAGGAUUUAUUGGGUUUUGGGUUUAGGGUCCUAAGGUUUUUGGAUUAAAAGAGUUUAGGGUGAAGAAAUGGGGUUUGGGCCUAAGCCCAAACACAUACACACCACAAACACACAUACACAUACACAUACACAUACACACCACACACACAGACAUACACAUACACAUACACACACAUACACAUACACAUACGCACACGCACACACACUUAAACACACACACACAAACUCACACACUCACACAACACACACACACUAAAUAUACAUACACACACACACGGGUACACACCCACACACCCACACAAUCUAAAACACACACACACAUGGCCCAAAGGCCUCACAACCAAAAGGGUUGGGCUCAGCAGGGAAGGCCCAAAGGGCUUCGUUUUUGGUGGGUCGCCGGAUCCAAUGGGAGAGAAGGCCGGAAAUUCGGCCGGAAAACCAUCCCACUUUAAACGGCCAUAACUUUAACAAUACUCAACGAAAUCAAGCGAGACAAAAACGAAAGUUAUAGCCCUUGAAGAGACGAAGAGAAUGGUACCUCACACGACGUCUAACUCGCCGUGUUUUGGCCGGAAAACGCCUCGAAAGCCGUCGGACUCGCCGGAAACUGGGUAAGAUUCAAAUGAGUAUAACUUUUCCAAUACUCAACGAAAUUGAGUGAAACAAAAAGGAAAGUUGUACUACUCGACGAGACGAAGAGAUUGAUACCUUGCACGCUGGGCAACUCGUCGUGGUUUGGCCAGAAAUGGCCUCGAAAGGGGCGGUGCUCGCCGGAGCUUACUCCGUGUCGUCGAACUCGCAGGGCAGGGUCCGGGGUUCGUUGCGAGCCUCUCUUCGAUGGUGACUCGGUCCUAGUGAGUCCAGGGGAAGAGAGAGAGCCGAGAGACAGACAGAAGAAGGAAGAAAAGAAAACAGAAAAGAAGAAGAAGAAAGAAGGGAGUUCACGGGGGAGGGACAGAGAGAGAAGGAAGAGUGACGGGAAUGGGGGACACAAAAACAGAAGGUGGGCCCCUUGGGCACAUCAAUUAAGAAUAAAAAACUAUUUUUAAAUAAAAUGGGGGUGAGGUGUUACAUUAGGCCUCACCAUCGUCUCCUAAAUCUCAGGUGAAGAUGGCCUGUUGCAGAUUGGUGAAGACGAAAAUGGCUUGUUGCAGAUUGGAGACGAAGAUGGCUUGUUGCAGAUCGGAGAAGACGGUGGGCGCGAGGCUCAAGAUCGGAGAAGACGAUGGGUUCAAAUGAUUUAUAUGAUUGUUUUGCUUUGAAAAAGGUUUUCGGAUUUAGUAGGAGAUACUGGAGGUUUUGGGAUUUGAAUUCAUAUGAUUCAUUUGGUUAAUUUGUAUGCAUGUAAACCUUUUUUAGGCAAGUGGGUGUAGUAGGAGAUACUGGAAAUCCCAAAACAAUCAAAAUACUACUGCUUUGAGAACCAUGAGUCGUUCAAAUUCUUGUUGCAGAUUAUCCUAAUGUUACUGCUUCUGAUUUGAUCAUCUAGGUUAUCGACAAAGGAAGAUGAACGACGAGUUAAAAAAAUUGUAAUCGACCCGUGGACCUGGCCCGAAUCAGCCCGUUUAGGUUCAGUUCCAAAUUCAGAAAUGGCAUUACUCGGCCCGGCCCACCCCGUUGCAUAUAUGAUUAUCAAUCACAGUUCGAAUUCUCCUUGUAAGGUUCACUGCAAAACAAAUACUGAAGAAGCCAACAUACACACACACACACACACACACAUACACAGUGCAAUCAUAUCAUAUUAAAAGAAAAACUAAAACCAACUAGGUUGGCUCUGAUGCCAAAUGUAAACUUUAAUAAAACCUAGGGUUAAUACUUCAAGGUUUUGGCGACAUGCACACGUGGUAUUUUUGACGAACUGGUAUUAGCAAUGGUUCAGGAUUUUGCCUGAAGAAGCCAUUACACAAAUUGAAGCCUCUUACUUUGAUCUUCUACUCAAUGGAAACCUUAUGUUCUUUUCUAGUAAUGGAUCUAGAUUUUAUCUCAGAAAAUGGAACCAACUUUCCUUGAGCAGGGACCAAGUAUAUAUAGACAUCUACACAUCUCAUCAUAACCACCUCCUCCCAUUAAGGAUAGCAGUUUGAUAACUGCAAGCAUUACGCUUGUCUUCCGAUCAUGGGGUGUUUCUCUCCUUCAUCACGUAACCCUUAUGGUCCUACAUUAUAGGAGAUUCAAUUAACCAAGUCAUUAACUCCUAACUGAACUCUAGUGUCUGAUAUGGAUAAUUAACCUUAAUUAUAAUUAGUAAAAUCCAAAUAAGUUCCAACACAAAAACGAUUAGAAGGCAUGGAUUAGAAUAACCAUAGAUUCAUGAAACAAUUCAUUACAAUUGCAAUGAUCGAUCAUAUAGCAGUAACAGCACCCUCUCCACGAGGAGGGAAAAGCAAACCAUCUAACCUAGCACACCCAGUUUCUGAAUUUUUCUAUACCUAGUGUUGCUUUUCUUCCUUGCGUAACCAAUUUAAGUUAUUAGACUUGAACAUUGUUAAUUGGAAUUAGUAAGGGAUAGUAACGAGGCAAAUACUAAUAUAACAAAGAGAAAUACCAAUUCAGGUAACAUCAUAUAUUAACGGUUGGUUCUAUCAUUAUCUUCGAGUCUUCUUGAUGUAUGACCUACUUUCUUUGCAAUGUCCUGAACUCGUUCCUGCAAUUGCAUACUUCAUUAUAUUCAAAUUUACAUAUUUUAUUUACGUUCGUUCUAUCGUUAUAAUUUGUAUGCCUGUUUAAAAUUGCUUCAUCACCCUCAGAUGUUGGUCAGGACAUAUCCAACGUAAUAUAUGGGGAUAUCGGGGUUGGAUGUGUCACAUUAUCCAAGACAAUUCAACAAGACUUGAGUGGAUCCCAGAAUGCUGACUAGAAAUGUCGUUUUCGUCUUCCAAAUACCGAUCGACGAAAAGUAGCACAUGUUGGGUAAAAUUCAAAGAAGCAGGGCAGCUGUCAACACUAUCAUUAAUGUACACGGAAAAACAAGUGCGGUCAAGUCCGAUGGCUUGGGCCUCUUUGGUAGUCCGAUGGCUUGCGGCCAAAAUCCGAUGGUUUUCAGCUAAGGGAGGGUAGGAUUCUUUGGUAGUCCGAUGGCUUGGGCCUCUGAUCGUCUAAUUCUCUAUUGCCCUCGCAGUUGCUGUGAUUGUGCCAAGGGUUUGAUACAUGCAUCUGCCAAGAAAAUGUUACUGAAAGCUUUGCUUGUUGUGUCCCUCCUCUUCCCAUUUUGCACUUCCAUUGACACCAUAGAAAUGGACCAACAUGUAAAGGAUGGUGAUCUUCUGGUGUCCAAAGAAAACAUCUUCGCAUUAGGGUUCUUCGGCCCCAGAAACUCCAGCUCCAGGUACGUCGGAAUUUGGUAUGCAGAAAAAGAUGAAAAAGAUCAAAAGGCAGUGGUUUGGGUAGCAAACAGAAACGACCCCAUCAAUGAUACCUCUGGUGUCCUAACUAUAGACAGGUAUGGGAGACUGCUUCUUUAUUCUAACAAUAUGCAGAACAUUCCUGUGUGGUCUACAAAUGUGACGGUUCAAACUGCGAGCACUAGUUGCAGGGCUCAGCUUUUAGAUUCUGGAAAUUUAGUUAUUUUCCGGGAUAAUAAAAGCAAAAACUUUAUGUGGCAGAGUUUUGAUUAUCCUACAGAUACUCAACUUCCGGGUAUGAAACUAGGCGUGAAUUGGAAUUUGGGGAUAGAAUGGGUCUUAACAUCUUGGAAGUCACAGGAUGACCCUGGAACUGGGGAAUACACCGAAAGGCUCUAUUCCAAUCAGACCGCCACCCCCCCAGUUUUUUACUUUUUAUAAAGGUUUGACUCCGUAUUGGCGAGCUGGUACAGUGGACCCGCGUAAUUUUGUCAGUAAUCAGGACGAAAUGUAUUUCUUUUUUAAAAACGAUAGCACUUCAAUAAGGUCGGUGUUGAAGGAUUCUGGGUCACUGCAAAUCCUCGAGUGGAGCAAUGCGAAUAGAGAAUGGAAGGAACUAUGGUCUGCGCCAAAAUAUCGGUGUGACCUGUAUGGAGAGUGCGGUGCCAACAGCAAAUGUAGCCCUGACAAUUUCAAUUUUUUUGGGUGUGAGUGUCUGCCAGGGUAUGAACCGAAGUCUGUCAAUGAUUGGAAGAUGAGAAAUGGUUCGGACGGGUGUGUGAGUAAACGAGUUGCGGUAUCAAAGUGUAGGAACGGAGAAGGGUUCAUGAAAGUGGCACAAGUUAAAGAUCCAGACACAACGAAAGCAGCACGG